UCCUACGGGACGCAGCAGUGAGGAAUAUUGGUCAAUGGGCGGAAGCCUGAACCAGCCAAGUCGCGUGAGGGAAUAAGGCCCUACGGGUCGUAAACCUCUUUUGCCGGGGAGCAGGGGCCGGGACGCGUCCCGGCCCGGAGAGUACCCGGGGAAAAAGCAUCGGCUAACUCCGUGCCAGCAGCCGCGGUAAUACGGAGGAUGCGAGCGUUAUCCGGAUUUAUUGGGUUUAAAGGGUGCGUAGGCGGAAUAUCAAGUCAGCGGUAAAAAUUCGGGGCUCAACCCCGUCGGGCCGUUGAAACUGAUGU
rnacentral:rRNA from 1 species